CCCUUAGAUGUCCUGGGCCGCACGCGCGUUACACUGAUGCAUUCAACGAGCUUAUAACCUUGGCCGAGAGGCCUGGGCAAUCUUGUUAACGUGCAUCGUGAUUGGGAUAGAUUAUUGAAAUUAUUAAUCUUGGACGAGGAAUUCCUAGUAAACGCAGAUCAUCAAUCUGCAUUGAUUACGUCCCUGCCCUUUGUACACACCGCCCGUCGCACCUACCGAUUGGAUGGUCCGAUGAAGCCUCGGGAUUGUGGUUCUUGCCGCUUUAUUGUGGCGUGACCGCGAGAACUUGUCUAAACCUUAUCAUCUAGAGGAAGGUGAAGUCGUAACA
rnacentral:rRNA from 1 species